UAUGGUCCGUUGAUCUGCCAUCAGACAAUGAAGUUGUCAUGUACUUGCUUUUUCUCUCACUGACCUUGAGACCGAACUCAGCACCCCUAUCUUCAAUUUUCGUGAAAUUCUCUUUAACGAUGUCAAUAUUCCGUCCAAUUAAGUUACUAUUGUAUUUCUUU